GGAGUCAUAGCUCAGUGGGAGAGCAUCUGCCUUGCAUGCAGAAGUCCCAGGUUCAAUCCCCAGUAUCUCCG